UAUGGAACCCACAACAGAAGCGUAUGGUCUUUGUCUCCUUCAGUGACUGAUCCUCAAAAGCACUUGAUGAGUCUGCUACUACUUUCAGUCACCGUAAAGCAAAUGACCUCAGUCAGGGUAGCCGAGAUCCAGAAACCUUCCUGGAGUUUCAUCUGGAGCCAUCUGCCACGCAGAGAGACGGCAGUCAGGCAGUACUGAAUACGCAAGGGAUCAUUACCCUGAAAAGGAGAACAUUGACAUCUUUGACAACGUGGCACCUUUGAAAGGCUCUUCCAAGAGACACAGGUGCAUGUGGAAUAUGUACAACACCGCGUUUAAGAGGCUUGCCCAGCAGCUUCUUGAGGAGGCCACGGAAGUCGGUGAAGCCGUAUUCCAUGCAGACCUUCUCAAAGUCCUUUUUCGGCACCUUG